GGAGGAAAGUAGGGGAUCGCAAGACCUUGCGUUAUGAGAGCGGCCUAUGUCCGAUUAGCUAGUUGGUGGGGUAAAGGCCUACCAAGGCGACGAUCGGUAGCUGGUCUGAGAGGAUGAUCAGCCACACUGGGACUGAGACACGGCCCAGACUCCUACGGGAGGCAGCAGUGGGGAAUUUUGGACAAUGGGGGAAACCCUGAUCCAGCCAUUCCGCGUGAGUGAAGAAGGCCUUCGGGUUGUAAAGCUCUUUCAUGAGGGAAGAAACGGGCCUGGUUAAUACCCAGGUCAACUGACGGUACCUUAAGAAGAAGCACCGGCUAACUACGUGCCAGCAGCCGCGGUAAUACGUAGGGUGCAAGCGUUAACCGGAAUUACUGGGCGUAAAGCGUGCGCAGGCGGUUUUGUAAGUCAGAUGUGAAAGCCCCGGGCUUAACCUGGGAACUGCGUUUGAAACUACAAGGCUAG
rnacentral:rRNA from 1 species